rnacentral:rRNA from 1 species
UACGGAGGGCGCUAGCGUUGUUCGGAAUUAUUGGGCGUAAAGGGCGCGUAGGCGGCUGUGCAAGUCGGAUGUGAAAUCUCAGGGCUCAACCCUGAAACUGCAUUCGAUACUGCGUGGCUAGAGUGCUGGAGAGGAGACUGGAAUUUACGGUGUAGCAGUGAAAUGCGUAGAUAUCGUAAGGAAGACCAGUGGCGAAGGCGAGUCUCUGGACAGCAACUGACGCUGAGGCACGAAGGCCAGGGGAGCAAACGGG